rnacentral:tRNA from 1 species
CUGGGUACAGCUCAGUGGUGGAGCGCAUGCUUAGCAUGCACGAGGUCCUGGGUUCAAUCCCCAGCACCCCAA